ACAAUUAAAAUAAAAAUUAAACAACACCCAUAUAACGGAAAAACAACAAUACCCAUGUAACAAUAAUAAAAUUAAAAAUACCCAUAUAACAACAAAUUAACAAGAAAUAUAUCAUAUCUAAACGAAACAGUUAAAAUAAAAAAUAAAAAAUAAAUAAAACAAUGCAGAAUAAAAAGACGAGCAGAGUAGAGGUUCAGUUUUGAAGAAAAAGACGAGAAAAGAAAAAAAGAAGGGGGGAAAACAGAGGUUCUGUUUUGAACUAU
rnacentral:misc_RNA from 1 species